AGCGAACGCUGGCGGCAGGCUUAACACAUGCAAGUCGAGCGCCCCGCAAGGGGAGCGGCAGACGGGAGAGUAACACGUGGGAACGUACCUUUCAGUUCGGAACAACCAAGGGAAACUUUGGCUAAUACCGAAUACGCCCGUAAGGGGAAAGAGUUAUCGCUGAAAGAUCGGCCCGCGUCUGAUUAGCUAGUUGGUGGGGUAAUGGCCCACCAAGGCGACGAUCAGUAGCUGGUCUGAGAGGAUGAUCAGCCUCACUGGGACUGAGAGACGGCCCAGACUCCUACGGGAGGCAGCAGUGGGGAAUAUUGGACAAUGGGCGCAAGCCUGAUCCAGCCAUGCCGCGUGGAUGAUGAAGGCCUUAGGGUUGUAAAGUCCUUUUAACGGGGAAGAUAAUGACGGUACCUGGAGAAAAAGCCCCGGCUAACUUCGUGCCAGCCGCCGCUGUAACAC
rnacentral:rRNA from 1 species